rnacentral:rRNA from 1 species
UACGGAGGGUGCAAGCGUUUAAUCGGAAUUACUGGGCGUAAAGCGCACGCAGGUGGCUGAGUCAGUCGAUUGUGAAAGCCCUGGGCUUAACCUGGGAAUUGCAGUCGAUACUACUCAGCUAGAGUAUGGGAGAGGGUAGUGGAAUUCCCGGUGUAGCGGUGAAAUGCGUAGAUAUCGAGAGGAACACCAGUGGCGAAGGCGAGUCCCUGGACAACACCUGACACUGAGGCACGAAAGCUAGGGGAGCAAACAGG